ensembl:lncRNA
CACACGCUUUAUUGAAACCCGGAAAGAAAAUAUUUCUGAUUUAUUUCACUGAAAAUCAAAAUGUUUUGGCUGCGAAUAUCGCUGAAGUGUCUCAAGAGAGGUUCUAAUGCACGGAGGCCCUAUUCCCUGUGAUGUGGGGAGGCAGAGGACCCCUGUUGUGCAGUACCUCAGCCCUUGGAGGGAGGCUGUGUCCUAGGGGAGGAUCUGCUGGGACAAGACAACUUGGGCUGCAGAAAGCACGCAGAUUCCUCAUGCACCUUUACUGAAGUGCAGCGGCAGUCUCUCAGGGCCUAAGUGCUUUCUCUUAAGGCUCAAUUACUUCGUCUGUUUCUGGGCAUUAUUCAAAAUUCUAAUUUUCCCCACAGUUUUAAACAAAAAGAUUCUGGAAAAAAACACAUUCACACAGACUCCGUAUUUUUCGCUUUUCCCACUCUUCCUCAGACCAGUGGCAAGCCAGGUGGCUGGCAAAAGAUACCCCUGAAGCAAACUGCAGCGAUGCACACGAGGCAAGGUCUCACAAUGACCUUACAUCUGAAAGACUGAGAAGAAUUCAAAGGAAAUUCUCCCCUGACUAUCUCCAGACUGAGCUGUAUUGUCUUCAGCAGUGUCUCCUUCCCUGCAGCACCAGCCAGCAGGACCCCAGUGUGCUGGCCACCCCUCUCCAGCUAUUUUUCCCACAGAGAGGCAUCCCGCAGCAUGUGAAGCGCCGAUGUGGGUUAUCACGCUGGAUGUCUGUCACACAUCAUGGCUCACUCUGGGGCUCUGGCACAUCCCAAAGUCUGCUCAGAAAUGCCUGUCACUCUGCGUCCCCUCUGUUCAGCUGACAGCUUGGUGAGGGGCUGGGCUCUGAUAAAUAGGAGAUAACACGCAGACAGCAGCAUCCAACCAUGGGUACCUACCGUGCCUCUGCAGACAGACGUGCGUAAAGGGUUUCUUUCUUCCUCAUUAUUAAAGUCUAUUUUUGAUCACAAAAUACGUGGCAAAUGAGAUAAAACUUUGCCGUGUUAUGCAGAUGUCUAAAAAGAAAAAUAACGCAGUUUUUGAAAGCACAAUGGUACCUACUGCUCUUUAGAAAUAAGCUGACAAGAAAAGCAUAAGAAAAACCAAACAAUGCUGAUGAAAAUAAAGAAAAAGAAGGAUUUAGGGAUUUAUGUUUGCCCAGUAGUCAGCUACAUAAAUUGCCUGUGAAUAAGGGUUUUAAAUGUUUUAAAAGUUUUUGAGGCAUAUCUAGGCUUGCUUAUUUGUCUGGGAAUAAUAUUUGUGCCUUUUUAUCUGUCCUGUUCUAAAUCACCCCAAACAGACUGUAAUGCUGCCAGUAAAGCCAUGUGAAUCCAAAAGAGCAGGAGCAGAAGAAAACACCCCUGGCAAGGAAAAAAAUUAAAAGACAUGUAUGGCUUCUGCAGCUGAGAGUAGUUACUGGAAAACAUCAAAUCACAAAAUGCAAACCAAAGGAGCAGGAGGGAGAAAACAUGCAAUGUGGGAACUGCUGUGUGUCCAUAAGAGAUUUAUAUCAGGAAUCCCCGAAGCAUCCACAUUAUCUGUCUGCUAGGAGCACGGAAACAGGAACUGUUGGUAAGGUCUCUCCAUACAAAGACCUGAAGAUGAGAGAGAUGUGAAUGAUUUUCUGUUUCUCCCAAGAUUUACCAAAUUUCCCUGGAGACAGAGCCAGGAAAGAAAGGCAGCACUUUCAGGGGGAAAAAAAAUAAAAAAUAAAAGUAAAAAAGCAGAAGCUGAUAGAAACAUAAAACUAGAGAGAUUCAGGGGCAGGUUGUGACCAUCAACUUGCAGCUCGGUGCUGCAAUGCUCAGGUUCACCCUGGGCUCCUGGCUCUGCAUGUGGCUCUUGGCAGCUCCUUCCCCCUGCACCCCAAAGCGGGCAUAGCUUGGAGGAUGAGCUUUGCCUGAGCAGGCUUUCACAGGUCAGGCUGUAAGCAAACCAGCAGCACUGCCAACCGUCAGAUUUCCUCCAUCUGCCCUCAGCACUGGUGAGGGUGAGAAGUGGCCCCAGAAAUAUAAAUGUGUUAAAAAUAUAAUAUGUGUUAAAAAGACAAGGAGUAUUUCAGAAUACUUGCUUCCCUGCCUCAGCCACUGAAAUGAAAGUAAUUCCUGCUGGGCAUGCACUGCAAACAUCAGUUCCUUGCUGUAAGGUUAAAUGCAGCUUCAAAUGUUUUGUUCAGUACAUACUGGUGAAGGAAAAGAUAUAUCUGUACUACAAGGAAUGUAAUAAAAGAUACUUGAAAACACUGGUCAAGUUGAUGGUUGGACUUGAUGAUCUUGAAGGUCUUUUCCAACCGAAAUAAUUCUAGGAUUCUGCGAAUACAAAUUUUACUAGAAGAAAGGCCAAAUAUAAACCAGAUUCUGUUUUUUUAAACUCACAUGAAUUGGUAUGGGGAAUGUCCCUUGGCUUCAAUCUCUGCCCGCGCUGGUGCACUAGAGAAGGACUUGGCUCCACAGCUUUAAAGCUGCUGUGGGAACCAAUAUGCUAAAGCAACCCUAAGCAGUGUACCUGAAAGAAAUCUCCAUGGCUCCUCUCUUUCCCAGCUACAAGGUAGCAACCUUUGCAGACUGCAGUUUCCCCAGAAAUUAAAUAAAGAAGAAAAUGCUGAAAGCUAUAUUAAAAAAACAAAAGUAUAUAUCACAGCAGGAAACGCGAGAAAAAAAGAGACCUCAAGACCCCAGCAGCACUUACUAGGAAAAGUGAGAAUGGAAUAAGUCUCCAUCCUUUCACUUCCCAUUAAAACGUGCUUGUUUCCCACUACUGACUAUCUUAUUUGAUUUCUAUUUUUGUUGGAUGGGUUUCUGUUUUAAUCUCUGAGAGAUCAAGAAUAAAAGUCCACUUGGUCUCCUGGGCCUUGGCAGAAUUAUUUUAAAUUCAGCAGAGCAGGGAAGAAGGAGGAAAGGUUUUCAUUUUCUGUCUCAGUCUUGGAUCUUCCCUUAGUAUACAGCAACCCUGCAUGGUUUCGAACAUGCUCAUUAGGUGCAGAGCUAAAGGUAGCUAUAAUUAAAUGCAAUUUUCCAUCUACUGCCAAGGUGCAUAGGUUUCCAGGGAGCCAGCUCCUUGUCACCUUUUCUGUGUACUUGUGGCUAAAUAUGAAUAUUAAUGAACUCUCAGAUCUCCUCACCCUCCCCUUUCCUAAUUUAUUCACAACUAUUCUGUCUUUCUGCAAUGAAAGAAAGAAAAAAAAAAGCAAAAUAUAAUUAGCUUCUCUAUGAGCCUUCAGUCUGCUCUGGCAUCACUGACUGAGCCUCCCACUUUACCAGUAGACAACAUACUGACGAAGAGAAGGAUCUUUAAUAAGAUGAGGUUUUGAUUAUCUUCAGCAUCCCUGACAAGCUUCAGAGAGCCCUGGAAUGAAAAUAAGAUUUAUUGCUCCUGUUUCUAGCCAUGUCAUUCAGAGAAGAUGUUCCCUUGUCCAAAAAUAAACGUUUCACCCAACUUAGGUCACAACAUUUCUUAAUUGAAAAUCAGCAAACUCUCAGGGGGAGUGAGGACAGAGGAUUUGGUCUAAAACUACCAGUGCUAAUAAGAAUAAUGACAUUUCUGCUCUAGCAAGCCAUUGCUCCCCUAAAGCUUACAAACUAGCUUUAAUACUGGGUUAUGAAUCUGUCCUUAGCACAUUGACUUGCUGACAUUGCAUAUGUCUGCUCUUGGGGCACACCCUCCUCUUGAUGGUCCCAGUCCUUGCCUGGCCCACUGCAUGCUGAUCCCUGCUCAGGAGAUGAUAACAGGGAACAGGCCUCACAACAGCCUGUCAUCUUCUCCCCAAGUUAAACCAUCUCCAAAAGCUAACAGCAGUGCAGCACUUUUCAAUCACAGAGGAAAGGAGAACACUCAAUGAAAUACCAUUUGUAAAACCAGGUGCCUCAGCACCACAUGGGAGAAGACUUCAGGGUAGUGAGUGAAGGACCCAAGGAGGCAUCCCCAAGCAUGCAUGGUUGCUCUCACUAGCUUGGCCGGGGGCUGCUCCCCACCCAGAAGGAGAUCUGUCUUCUUCCUGAGUCUGCCUGCCUCCCUUGGGCCAUGUUACCUCAGAAACUGGCCAAGUCUCACCAGCUCUUUGUUGCUCAACACAGCACUACCUCUGCCAGGGCUGCUGCAAGAUCUCACAUUUUCUGCCUCUUACUCCCCUAAAAACAGACUUAUCACAAGGUCUCUUGUACAGGCCCUCACAACACAAUAAUUCAUUGCCAGUGCCUGGCCACAUUAAAUGGGUAGGUUGAUGCUAUGUGCAGAGACACUGCCAGGUUGCUCUAAGCGUGUGCUCACAUCGGUGCACCUCGUAUUAUAAAAGCCAUGUUUCACUCUUCAUUGCCCCAAAGGUGCAGGUUUGCACAGAGUGUGCCCAGGUUUGAACUGAAGUGCAUUCUCUGAAAUACAAGACAGAAAGAUUAUUUCGGCCUUCUCCAAAUUAUUUUAUAUUAGAUAUUAUUUCAGUUCAACUGUGUUCACACUUCUGUGGUAUUUACUGACUGAAAACAUGCUCGCAAAUGUGUUUACUGAAGAAACAUUCCCUACACAGGCAAAUUUCAGGCAAAUAUUUGUGGUAAGUAAUUUUCAAAACUGCAAACCCAAAUAUUUAUCCCAGAAGAAGGAUGCUAAAAGUCCAGUCAAAGAACAGAAACAUACCAUGUAACCUCUGUCUCCAGUCAGUUGGACAGGAUUCCAGCAGAUCUGCAGACAAAGAAUCCUUUAGAGAAAUGCUGGGUGCACUUGAUAAAAUGCCGAUGCAUUUACGGGCAGAUCAAGACCCAAAGGGGAGAAAGGACAAAGUUUAUGGAGCAAGCAACUCAUCGCAAUAAUUUGUUCAGAGCUCCCAGGACAUUUGCUGGGCUAGGGAGCAUACUCUGGGCCUGACGUAGAUCCAGAAAGGUCCAGGUAAAAUGCAGCCCAUUUCUACUUGAUUAUUUGGCAACUGAAAAGGGAUACUCACUUUGGAUUGCAGUUUGCAGGCUAUACCGUUAGAAGCAGAGGCAGCAGGUGGUGGCCACCAGGCCUCAAUUAGAUAUGAGAAUAUCAGAUCGAUGGAAAGUUUGUAUCUGCAGUAUGUAUCUUACACUUAUGCUGUAAAACCAAAGGAGGAAAAACUAGCUUGAGGCAAAUCUUAUACUAAACCCAAGCCAAGCAUCAAUAAUAUACAUUUUGUUGGGUAUUUAUACAGAAUCGAUCUGUAAACGAAGGUGCCUUUAGUUGCCAAGGGUAGCAGAUGUUUUUUCUGGAAUCUACUGCCAAAAACCAAGUUAAGAGGGGGAGAGAGGAGGAGAGAGCAGUUCAGCUCCUUCAGUGCAGAAAUUUUGGUGUCCGAAUAUGCUAAGUCAACCUACUUGCAAUAAAAUUUAAAACACUUAAUCCAAAUGGCAGAAGCUGCAGCUGGCUGUUUUUAAUCUCACUGACAACAUAGCAACUGUACAUGAGGCUCAGGGUUCAGCCUUCCUGACACAGAUAUUUGCCCAACACCUACAAGCGAUACAUGGGACUUGCCAGAAUACUGGCCCCAGGGGAUAGCCUGUGAAACUGCAAGGACAGGAUUGGCUCAGAGACUCUUCCACUGCCUCCUUCAAGAAACCUGGGUAGCUUGGUGCACCCAACUUGCCUUGGGAGCCCAUCUUGGCCCUACAGGCUGUCUCCAGUGUCCUUUCUUCUACAGAGGCCUGAGUCUGGACCAAACUCCAAGCCGCACAAAGCUCCUUCCAGUUCAGCACCUUGUUGAAGCCACGGGAGGACUGUAUGGCCACCGGCCUGUUACAAGAGCCACGCUGCUCUCUUAAACACAGAGGAUUUUGUCUUUCUGAGUUCUCAGCCUUGCCAUCUUUCAUGACCUAAAAUUUCAUUCUCUCAGCACUUCCUUGAAGAUUUUUAGGCAGAACAACACGUUAAAAGCUCAAAUGGCCUACAAAAUUUCAAUAGUGUUUUCCCUAUUGAGACCCAUGAAAACUGUACUUUUAAUGUCUACUUACAACCCGUUUCUGACUCCUCAUCUCAGUGACCUCUGCACAACACACGGUUCAGCAGUCAAAAAAGUUAAACAAAUAUCUAAGAAGAUAAUGAAGCAGUAAAACCUAGUCUAAAGUUUAAUCUCUCUGGAAACCUGUCAGCCGAAAAGGCUUAGAAUGGUGUUUCCCUGAAAACAGGGAAAGAAACAGGAAACACUUUUGUUUUAAAGCAACUGAGAAUCUGAAGAGACUGAAAUUUUAGAAAAAAUUGUCAUUUAUGUAAGGCAGAGUUUGAAAAUUUGAGAGGGCUCACCAACCCUUGGUGAGGGAUCAGAAGGUGAUGGGUACCAGCAGGUCAGAGCCUGCUGAGGAAGGGAGCUCUUAGGGUGCAUGAGAGCUUGCCAAACCAAGAAUCAUAGAAUCAUAGAAUCACUAAGGUUGGAAAAGACCCACAGGAUCAUCCAGUCCAACCAUCCGCCCUUCAUCAAUGGUUCUCGCUAAACCAUGUCCCUUAACACAACAUCCAAACGCUCUUUGAACACCACCAGGGUCGGUGACUCCACCACCUCUCUGGGCAGCCCAUUCCAGUGCCUGACCACCCUUUCAGAGAAGUAGUAUUUCCUAACGUCCAGCCUGAAUCUUCCCUGACGCAGCUUGAAGCCAUUCCCUCUCGUCCUAUCACUAGUCACCCAGGAGAAGAGGCUGACCCCCAGCUCACCACAACCUCCCUUCAGGCAAAUAAAAAUAAAAAUAAAUAAAUAAAAUAAAAAGAAAGGGCACAAAGUCCCUGCAGUCAUCCAUGGUGCUGUUUCACCUACAGGAAUUGCAGCACAGCAGAGAUUUGUGAGCCCCUCUGAGGCUUAACCAUUAGUGCACUGUAAUUAAUGCAAACGCUGGUCACUAUGGCUGCACCAACGUUACCUGCUGAGAUACAUAUCAAAGAAUCUGGGGCAAAUGGAGAUGGCAGUGUGGAUCACAGCUCUGACUGGGCCUGGUGGUCCCUUGCAGAAGUUGUCACACGCUUGGGCAUAACCCAAAGAAAGCCUGCACUCAGGCUCAGAAACUGGGAAGUUUUGCUGCAUUCAGUAAUGUGCUGUAUUGUAAGGAUAGAAAACCACACUGCCUGCCUUACAAGCCACUGCAGAAAGGUGGACUCUCAGAGCUUAUUGGAGAGAGCAGACUCUCCGACUUACUGUUGGAGGCCAGUUACAAGAAUGAAAAGGAGAUCAUUUGCAUUCUCCACUCUCAACAAGGGAUGAAGACUAUUUUAAAAGAAGCCUGUAACAGCCAUAGCAAUAGACAGUACUUUCUGGGAUAGCAGUAUCUGCAGAAAACUGCACAGUGGUUCAGCAUCUAUGAAUAACAGAGCCCUUCCCUCUGCGGGAUUCACAAUUUUCCCCUCAGCCCCACCAAAGCUAACUGAAAUGGACAGCACAAACCAUUGAAGCUCUUCUUUUCAGAGAAAGAAGAAAAACAACAAGAGAAACAUUUAUGUCAGUACAAUUAUUUUUUUGUGUCAUUUGCCCUUUUUCUCCUAACCUCGGUUAUUAAAUAGAUCGCUCUAGCUGGAAGUUCUUCUUAUAAAUUCCUUACCUAUACACCAGUGCUGACUGGUUGAUUAUGCUGUCAGCCUCCCAAUGCCACAAUGUUCUUUCAGAAAAAAUGUGGGUGUUUUUUUUUCAGAUGACACACUAUUUAACAAAAGACAACAAACAACAAACCUCCAACUUCAGAUACUGCAGAAAACCAUCAUCCUGUGACCAAGAACUGCAGAAUGCCUGAGAACUCUCCAGAAUUUGUGGCACUUGGAGGAUGCACUGAAAAGCAUUGCAUCUUUCUGACUCCCAGGGAAGCCGUGCAACUUCAGAGAGAGGUAAUAAGCAAGCUGCGGAAUCUGAGAGUGAGAGCAAGUUGGAAGGACACCAAAAUGGUUUUCCAGGUCAGAUAAACGGAUGACUGUUGUGUCAGUGUUACCACCUCAGCAUCAGAGGGUUAUUCACACCACUUACAUUAGCCAGACAGCUCAGCCAAAAAUCAGGUUGGCUAGGACCACUCUGGAGCACACUGGCAGGGGAAAAGCAGCUCUAGGAAGAAGAAUCCUCAGGACAGUGUAGGAGCACCACACAUGUAAGAAGCUCUGGAAAAUCCCAGCAGACUGGAGAGGAACCCUUUGACUGCAGGAUUUUAUUACUUAAGACACCACAAAACAGCACCAACCAAGGGACAGGACUUCCAGUUGAUGAAUGGGUAAGACAGUGAAGCUAGCAUUCCACAACAAAGAUUGUGGCCACAGUUUAAGAAAGUUUCUGAUUUAGUUUCUUCUACAAAGGACACCAACAUGUUUCAUCCUGGUGAUUCUAAGAACUUGUUUUUCUUUGCUAAAUUUUUCCACCACUGAGCCUUGUUAUUAUUCUGCGAAGUAACAACAGAUUACUUCAGAGCAGAAGAGAUUUAUGCAUUUAUACAUCACAGAAAUGCCUGAAUGCUAACUGCCUGCACUUCCGAGAUAAAAGCUGGGGUGCUCUGCCUGCUGGUGCACUGACCUAAAUGCAGACACAUACAGAAUCACACAACCUGUUUACCAUCUAGAUGUCCUAUGCUUUCUGUAGGCAUGGCAUUGCUCCUGUAGGCUUCACCACAGAGACGAGGCGGAGAAGGAAAGCACCUUGAGAUGUUCCAUGGCAGGAGAAGCUGUAUCGCAAUACCACUCUUAUUGGAUGCUUGUUUUCCCUGCUCUAGAAGGCAGUUCUAAAAGGAGGGCUCCCCAGCUUCACAGACAUUCUUGUCAUGUUCCUAGCUAUCCUACUGUGACUUCUUGAUUUCUAAUUUUCUCUGCAGUUUACGACCAAUACUUCAUGUUUUGUUCACCACAGAUACAGAGAUCAUUUCCUCCUCUUUCCACUUGAAAAAUGUUAUCCUGUCCCUUAAGUCUGCUCUCCUUUUAUCGUCUUAAACUAUUUCCUUAGUUCACAUUUACUAGAUAUCACCACCUUGCUAUAUUCAUAGAAUCAUAGAAUUAUAGAAUGGUUUAGGUUGGAGGGGACCUUAAAGAUCAUCUAGUUCCAUCCAUGCCAUGGGCAGGGUUGCCAACCACUAGAUCAGGCUACCCAGGAACUCAUCUUGGGAUACUCCAUCCUCUCCAAGUGAUCUCUGGCUUUUUUAAAGUGCAAUGCCUGAUACUGGAUAUGAAAUAGGUUUACCAGCAGAAGGAUUAUUUAAUGUCUUUGUCGUUUACACAUUCAUCUGAGGACGGACUUUCUCCGUUUCACAACAGGCUGAUAUUGCUCACACGUGCUUAGUUCAUGAUUCAACAUAGUUCCUAGAUCCUUUCUGAAAGAAAUAAAAGUUUUUCAUCCUAUAUUUAAUAAAUCAUUUUUUCCAACUGCUAUGCAUGAUGCUCUAUGGAAGUCCAUACUAUUUUUAGGAAAUGUCUCCAAUUUGUAAAAAUCAUAUUAAUUCCAGCUCUUUCCCCUGUUGUGCUUGCAGCCUUUCUCAGACUUCUUUUAUCUUCAGAUUUACCAAACCUCCCAUGAACCAGCUCAUUAAAAAGAGCAUUAGAUGAAGCUGCAUGGAGAACAGACACUCGUGCGCUACUCACAGGCAGAGAUUUUCUUAUCAUAACUUAAUAAUAUAUAUUUUGAAAUUCCUGUCCCCCUUUUGACACCAACAACCACUUCUCUGAGCUGUGAGCUACCAAUUCACCUACACAGAGGCUGUAAUAAAAUCCUAGAAAGCAUUUCCUAAUUGAUACCUCUGAGCUUCAGCCAGGCACAUGAAUCUGAGAUCUUAAAUUAUCUUAAUUCAUAUCAGUGUGGAUUCACACCUCAUGUUAAUACUAGAGAAUUUGUGUCCCUUCCAGAUAACAGAAAUGUUUGAAAAGCCAGAGCCUUUCUUUCUGGUGCUCUGCAUCUCCUUGCUGAAGGUAACUAUUGCAAACACGGUGCAUUUACAGUAUAUUAUUUAUCUUUCAUUUAUGUGACUGGUACAGGCUUGGUUUUUCUCUGCUGAACUCCUUAAGAUUUGAAUCCCCUCCUUCAACACAGCAGAGUGGUAUGUCAGCAGCCUUCAAUGCACAGGCAGUGUGCUCUGAUGAGCUGGGAGCCAGAAACUCCCUAAUUCCAAACCCAACUUCACCAUGCAGACAAUUGCAUAGAUCUAGAGAGGUGUUUUAGCUCCCUCCCUUGCCUUCCUACCAGCCAGCACUAAACCAACAGAACAGUGAUGUUUACCAUGUUUUCAGUCUAAGUCGAAAAUGAAUACCCUCAGUGACUUGCACCCAGCUAAAAUCUCUUAACUACAAUUCCUCUUUCAUAUUUUCAAGCAUAUUUGCAAACAGCAUCUUGGAAAUAGGCUACCAGAUCUUCAGUUGGUGCAACCGGGAGGUUCCACAGAUGGCCAGGAGAACAGUUCAUGAAGGCAUUAUGUUAUUAAACUAUCUGGUUUUGUAAAUCCAAUUUGACAAGAGCUAUUAUAAAAUCAGUUUCUGCGCCCUUGAGCUUUACUGCAAAAUACCUGCAUUUAGUCUUCUUUUUUUUCUACUGAGGAUACAAAUUUUUUAGAAGCUGAAUCUCUUAAUGGAAUUGAUGUAUCAGGGAAGAGCAGGAGGAUUUCUUAAACAAAACAAAAAGUAAACAUAUGGAAGGGAAGCAGAAGAAGGGAAGCAUAGCUUCACUACAUAGAGUCUUUCUGUGUAAUAAAAUACUAAAGAAAUACUGUGAGAAAUCAACCACAGGAAAAUUAGGAGCUACAAAACUGGAGAUAAAGCAGAAUUGGAAGUAAAAGAAGCAGAGCAGGAAUACAAUCUGGAAGGUCAAUUGAUAAAAUAUGUAGCAAGCACUGAACCAACACCAAUCAAUACCACUCAGUAUGAGCCGAAUAACAGCCUAAUAACCACAUCACAUCCACUUUAUGGUACUAUCUAUCACAGCAACAGCAGGAGGUUGUGGCAAUUCCACUUUCUGCACACUCGGAUGGACUAGCCUCACCCAGACCUCCCAGUGUCUCUUCAUGCCACCAUGAAGGCAGCGGCGCUGUCCUGCAGCAACCAACACCAUCCUUCAGUUGAGCUCACCAAAUGUUCGGGACAGCAAAUCUGGGAUGUGUGAUAGGCAGAGUAGUGAGGAGCUGAGCACGAAGCCAGAUUUGAUGUCAGGGGACAUCAAAUCUAUAUAGGUUAGGGACUGACCUGCUGGAGAGCAGCAUAGGGGAAAAGGACCUGGGGGUGCUGGUGGACAGCAGGACCACCCUGAGCCAGCACCAUGCCCUUGAGGCCAAGAAGGCCAAUGGCAUCCUGGGGUGUAUUAGAAGGGGAGAGUUUAGUAGGUUGAGAGAGGUUCUCUCCCUCUACUCUGCCCCAGUGAGACUGCAUCUGGAAUAUUGCAUCCAGUUCUGGGCCCCUCAGUUCAAGAAGGACAGGGAACUGCUUGGGAGAGUCCAGCACAGAGCCACAAAGAUGAUUAAGGAUGUGGAGCAUCUCCCUUAUGAGGAGAGGCCGAGGGAGCUGUGUCUCUUUAGCUUAGAGAAGAGGAGACUGAGGGGUGACCUCAUUACUGCUCAUAAAUCUGUAAAGGGUGUCAGGACGAUGGAGCCAGGCUCUUCUCAGUCACAAGGGGCAAUGGGUGCAGUAUGGAACAUAAGAGGUUCCACAAAAAUAUGAGAAAAAACUACCCUUGAGUAAGGGUAACAGAACACUGGAGCAGGAUGCCCAGAGAGGUAGUGGGGUCUCCUUCUCUGAAGACAUUCAAAACACUCCUGGAUGCAUUCCUGUGUGACCUGGUUUAGGUGUUCCUGCCCUGGCAGGGGGAUUGAACUAGAUGAUCUUUCAAGGUCCCUUCCAUUCCCUGACAUCCUGUGAUUCUGUGACUUCUCCAUAAAAGGGGACAAACUGACAGUAAGGACUGAACUGAGAUGAGACUGGGCACCACACCAGAUGAUGAGAAAAGUCAAGCCUGGCUCAUUUUUUAUAACAUGCAAUGGAGAAGUAUUGGCCUCUUUCAAAUCAGUAAAAAAUCCUCCAUAUGGUUCCAAAGAGCCUGAGAAUUCAUCCCUCAUUUUGACCUAAUGUUAAAAAAGUUGAUACACAGCAUAAUUUAUAUCUUUCCUAAAAUGCUGGUGGAUUGUCUUCAAGGUUUGAAUAUGGAAAGAUAAUCAGCAACACAUAUGAACCAGAAAAAUAAUAGAACCAAGUUGGAAUGGACCCACAAGGAUCAUCAAGUCCAACUCCUGGCUCCACACAGGACCACCCAAAGUUCAAACCCUGUGUCGAGAGCAUUGUCCAAACGCUUCUGGAACUCCAGCAGCUUGGGGCCGUGACUGCUGCCCUGAGGAGACUGUUCCAUGCCCACCACCCUCUGGUGAAGAACCUUUUCCUAACAUCCAACCUGACCCUUCCUGAGGCAGCCCCAUGCUGUUCCCUUGGGUCCUGUUGCUGUCACCAGAGAGCAGAGCUCAGUGCUGUCUCUCCAAUCCCCGUGUAAGAAAGUUGUAGGCCACCAUGAGGCCUGCCAUCAGCCUCCACUUCUGCAGCCAGAAAUAGAAGUAUAAUUCAUACAAAUUCCUGGCUAUGUGGCUGGUGCCAGCAUGAGGGCUUUGGUUUUUAUGACAGUGGGACUUUCUAUGAAGAUUAUAGCCUGUUAAGGAGGGAUGAGAUCCACAUGUCUAGAAGAGGCAGGGCAGUCUUUGGCAGCAGGCUAGUUGGCUGACCUAGUGAGUUGAGCUUUAAACUGAAGGACUUAGGGAGUGAGGUCCAAAAUGGCAAUGCUCAUGUCACUGCAAGCACCUAGGGAAUAUCCAGACCAAUCAGAACAGUGACAAAUGUUCCUAAGCUGCCUCCCAUGACAUGAGCCAGAAGGUCAACUAUCGCAAAGGUGUGGAGGAUUCUCUUGCAUCCCUCUAGGGAAAUCUGCAUCCUCUGCUCCCUUUUCAUAUCUGAAGUGCUUGUAUGUCAACGCAUACAGCGUGGAAUCACAGAAUCACAGAAUGGCCCAGGUUGGAAGGGACAUCAAGGAUCAUCAAGCUCCAACCCCCUGCCACAGGCAGGGCCACCAACCUCCACAUUUAGUACUAGACCAGGCUGCCCAGGGCCCCAUCCAACCUGGCCUUGAGCAUCUCCAGUGACAGGGCAUCCACAACCUCUCUGGGAAGCCUAUUCCAGAACCUCACCACUCUUAGAAUAAGGAAAUUCCCCUGACAUCCAACCUAAAUUUUCCCUCCUUCAACCUAAAACCAUUUGGAGAACUUAAAACCAAUGGAGAAUAAGCAGGAUGAAUUAGAGAUCUGUGUGUGGUUGCUGGGCUGUAAUCUCAUUACAGUCACAGAGAUAUGGUGGGACAGUUCGCAUGACUGGAAUGUUGUCACGGAUGGCUAAUGUACUUUUUUGGGAAAGACAAGCCAGCAAAGCAAGGCAGUGGAGUUGCUCUUUGUGAGGCAGAAAUUGGAAUGUACCAAGCUCUGACUAGGGAUGAAUGAUGAACAAGUGGAGAGCUUAUGGGUGAGAACAAAGGGUCAGACUAAUAUGGUGACAUGGUUGUGGGUCUUUACUAUAGGCCACCUAAUCAGGAAGAGGGAGUUGAUGAGGAUGUUACAGAUAGCUGAAAGUAGCCUCACAAUCACAGGCAUGGGGGACUUCAACUAUCCUCAUAUUUACUGCCAGGCGCACACAGCCCACAUGGUUCCUGCAGGGCAUGGAAGAUAAAGUUUCUGAUGCAGGUGGUGAAGGAGCCAACAAGGAGAGGUGUGCUGCUAGACCUUGGUCUUACAAACAAGGAAGGACUCACUGGGGAUAUGAAGGCUGGGGGCACCCUCAGGUACAGCAAACAUGAGAUAGUGGAGUUUAGCAUCUUACAUGGAAGAAACAAGGCAAUAAGUAGGAUUGCAACCCUGGACUUCAAGAGAGAGAAUUUUAAUCUCUUCAGUGACCUUCUUGGAGGUAUCCUAUGGAUUAGAUCAUUGGAAGGUAAAGGGACCCAUGAGAGUUGGUUGACAUUCAAGCACCACUUCUUCCAAGCUCAAGGUCAGUGCAACGCUAGAAGUAAGAAGUCAGGCAAAAGUGGCAGGAGACCCACAUGGAUGAAUAAGGAGCUCAUAGAAAAAUGUCUACAGAACACAGAAAAGAGAUCUGAACAUUUGAGAAGAAUAUAGGAACAUUGUGAGGGCAUGCAGGGAUGUGAUGAGAAAGACUAAGGUCCAUUUGGAAUUAAAUGUGGUGAGAGAGGUCAAGGACAACAAGAAGGGCUUUUUAAAGUAUGUCAGUAGCAAAACAAAGACUAGGGAAAAUGUGGGUCCACUGCUGAAUGAGGUGGGUGCCUUGGUAAUGGAGGACACUGAGAAGGUGAAGUUACUGAAUACCUUCUUUGUUUUAGUCUUUAUUAGCAAUACUGCCCUUUCGGAGUCCCAGACCCUGAAGGUAAAAAGAGAGAAUCUGGAGAAAGGUAGACUUUCCCACUGUUGAAGAGAAUCUGGUCAGAGAUCAUCGAGGCAAACUGAGUGCACACAAAUCCAUGGGCCCCAAUGGGAUUCACACCAUGCAUGCUGACAGAGCUGGCAGAAGUGAUUGCCAUGCCACACUUUAGAGGUGCCAGAGAAGUGGAGGAACUCCAGUGUCACUUCAGUCUUCAAAAAGUGCAAGAAGAAGGAGCCAGGAAACUACAGUCAGCCUCACAUCCACCCCUAUGAAGAUGAUAGAACAGCUUAUUCUGGAUAUCAUCUCCAAGUAAGUGGAAGAAAAGGUUAUCAGGAGUAGUCAACAUGGACUCACCAAGGGGAAGUCAUGCUUGAACAAUUUGGUAGCCUUCUAUGAUACCGUGACCAUCUGGGUAGACGGAGGGAGAACAGUGAAUGCUGUCUACCUUGACUUCAGUAAGGCUUCUGACACUGUCUUCCAUAACACCCUCAUAAGUAAGCUUAGAAAGUGUGGGGCCAGGUUCUUUCCAGUGGUGCCCAGAGAGAGAACAAGGGGCAAGGGGUACAAACUAGAACAUGGGAACUUCCAUAUGAUCAUGAGGAGAAACUUACUUUGAGGGUUACAGAGCACUGAAACAUGCUACCCAAAGAGGUUGUGAAUCUCCUCUGGAGAUAUUCAGGACCUACCUGGUUGCUUUCCUGCGUAGGGAACCUGCUUUAGCAGGGAGGUGGGCUAAAUGAUCUGCUGAGGUCCCUUCCAACUCCUAUAAUUCUGUGAUUCUUUGAUUCUGUGGUGUCUUCCCAGAGCAAUUCUCAUGCUCAUCAGACCUUCAGGUCCACCUGAGACCAUUGCAGCCCUAUGUCUGCCCAUAUGAGGCAUACAGGUACUACUAAACUCACAGCCAUAGGAAAGACAAGGAAGGGUUUUCCUUGAUCUUCUCCACAUAUUUUUCCUUUUUUCACAUGGUCUCAUGACUGAGAAAAAUUCUUUUUAAAAGUUAGGAGUUCUUUUUGUUUUGUUUUGUCUGUUUGUUUAUAUUUUUGAAUGUAUUUUCAUCACUGUCUGACAGGAAUGCCAGAUUCACAAGUUUGAAAAUUCUGCAUGUUAACUUAAAAUAAAAUAAAAUAAAAUAAAAUAAAAUAAAAUAAAAUGCAUUUCGCAAGGCCACAUAGAGGUGAAGAAACCACACUUCAAAAUGUUUCAUCUCACCAAAAAUGUCUUUCACAACUUUAACCUGCUUUAAGCAUGAUCCACCAGCAAAGCAGGCUCACCACACUUAUGAGCUAGCACAGUUCUUCAGUUCAUAACUAAACUUUCCAAAAAGAUGCUCUACCAUAUUUUUUUCAUUUAUAGUAGAUCAUCAUUAUGCUAUAUAACUUAUGGGACACAUUUUGAAAAUACCAUGUGUUGCUUAUACUGCUAUUUCAGAAAUUUAAGGAAAUAAACCUUACUACA